AAUGAAGACACAAGCUAUUGAGCUUGCUAUAGCAACAAAGUAUAACCUAUUCUGGUAUUCUCUCCCUGGACACACGCCAUUAUAUAGUCUUAAACAUU
ensembl:snoRNA